GAUCCUGGCUCAGGAUGAACGCUAGCUACAGGCUUAACACAUGCAAGUCGAGGGGAAACGACAUCGAAAGCUUGCUUCCGAUGGGCGUCGACCGGCGCACGGGUGAGUAACGCGUAUCCAGCCUGCCCACCACUUGGGGAUAACCUUGCGAAAGUAAGACUAAUACCCAAUGAUAUCUCUAGAAGACAUCUGAAAGAGAUUAAAGAUUUAAUCGGUGAUGGAUGGGGAUGCGU
rnacentral:rRNA from 1 species